CGUUGCCGAGUGAUGAACCCCAGGGCAGGAGCGGAGGAACCAACUUCUGCGUGAACGCCUCACGGCGCUCGCGCUCGGGGUGAAGUCCUCACCAGGACCGGGCCACGUCUCUCGCCCGAACCCGACAGCUCACUUCGCAGGCGUUGCAGGGACACCGA
rnacentral:sRNA from 1 species